GGCAGUGGCUUCUCUCUUGCUGCUGAGUGGCCUUUCAGGUUAUGUUGAUAUAUGACUUGUUUCACUGUGGAUAUAGAUACAUUUGUAUGUUCAUUUUUAAUAAUGACACCUUUAUUUAACUAGGCAAGUCAGUUAAGAACAAAUUCUUAUUUUCAAUGACAGCCUAGGAACAGUGGGUUAACUGCCUGUUCAGGGGCAGAAUGACAGAUUUGUACCUUGUCAACUCUGGAAUUUGAACUUGUGACCUUCCAGUUACUAGUCCAAUGCUCUAACUACUAGGCUUCCCAGCUACCCUGCUGCUCACCUCUAGAAGACAGAACUUGUCUUCUUCCUGAGCGGUAUGAUGGCUGCGUGGUCCCAUGCUGUUUACUUGCGUACUAUUGCUUGUACAAACGAAUGUGGUACCUUCAGGCAUUUGGAAAUAGCUCCCUUGGAUGAACCAGACUUGUGGAGGUCUACAAUUUUUUUCUGAGGUCUUGGCUGAUUUCUUUUGUUUUUCCCAUGAUGUCAAGCAAGAGACACUGAGUUUGAAGGUUUUGUCCAGUUUCUCCAGUACUAUUACCAGAGUGGCUGUAGGUACAGACGUUGAGCCCUGGGAGAGAGUCACAACAUGGAUUUGACAGUUGAGGGUUUCCUGUCGUGGAUGUGGCGAGGCCUGACCUUCCUUCUGCCCUUCCUGUUCUUUGGUCAUAUGAGUAUCGGGCACAUCAUCCCACUGGAGGUUUUCAUGUGUGGCUGCUCCUACCUCGUGUUUUUCAUGGGAACUUUUCCACCACACUUGGUGUGGUCUACCAUAAGUACAUCCACAACCAAGACACUUCCAAGAGCCUGUAAGACUGGAAGAGAAAGAUAACUGGACAUUGUUACGAACCCAACUAUUUAUUCAAAAUAAUAUGUGCCAAAGGUGUUUUAUACUAAUGUACUUUUUGUCUAUUUUAUACAGUUGUCUUGUAAACCAUGUACAUUUUUCUGUUGCACCUUCUUAUCAAACAUGUUUCGUUUCUUGUUUAAUUUCUGAAACACUUUGUUCUUCGUUCUUCAGAGAAAAGCAGAUUGUCACUUUCAGCAUCACCCAAGCAUUUACAAGCAUUUCGCUACACUCGCAUUAACAUCUGCUAACCAUGUGUAUGUGACAAAUAAAAUUUGAUUUGAUUUUUGAAGAUUUAA